GAUGGUGACCAUAACUGUACAGAAGCACUAAACAACUGACAAUCUAACAAACAUUACUGGCCUGAGCCGUCAUGCACAGUGAGUCUGAUCCUGUGCUGUGAGAGUCUGACAAGCAUGUUUCUGGUCAGUUUGGAAGAAAUAAUAUCACAAUGUUGAUCUUUUUUUAAUAUUCGUUUUACAACAUAAACUGUGAUCAAAGCUACUUAUGUUCACAGCAUGUAAUAAUAGUGACAGUCCAGGGCAUUGUGGUCUGUUGAGCUAGGGUUAGGGUUAGCAAUUCAGACAUAUGUAAUCAAUUUUACUCUUGCUGGAACAAACGCCUAGGAAUUUGUAUUAUAAUUCAUGAAAUAUUCAUAUUUAGUAUCAGUCGUUUUAUAUUAUAACCACGUAUCCACCCAGGCUCAUGGUGGGGCAGGGCUCUGUCCUGGGAUCCUUGAGUGAAAGCUAAUGUACACCCUGACCAGGUAUCCAGUCUGUCACAGUUGUUUUCAAUAUUUGGUUCUAAAAUAUGAGUGAAAACAAAAAUCCAACUAGGAUUCGACCCGUAGAGGGGGGGUACUGUCACGGACCCAGCUCCAGGGAUUCGGGGUCCGUGAGCAGUGUGGACUACUAUUGUAGUUAUUAUUAUUUUUAUUAUUAUUAUUGUUAUUAUUGUUAUUAUGGUUGUGUCUGCUGUCCUGUGUUCCAUGUUUGUGUACUGUCAGGUGUUUAUGGGUGUGUGCAUGUGUGUGAGGGUGCGGUCGUGGCAGGCACUUUUAGGCCUGGUGGGUGUGGCCCUGCCAGCUGACCGGUCACACCCAGGAAUCCACGCACACAUGGCGCCGAUCAAGCCUCGUCAGAGGAGCUUCAAAACAGUGUGGCUGAGAGCUCCUCGACGCUGGAUCGUUGAGUGACUUCCCGAGGAAUUGUGGCGACCAGGAGGCAGUACACAGGGAACGGAGACAGAGCACGGAGCACGGGAUAAGGGACAAGACACGGAACAGGAGUCGGGAUCGCACGGGGGAUUUAUUGUUGUUUGGAUUUUCACCACUGUAAAUAAACGCACUGCCUUCGUCAUCAAGUCCUGCAUUUUGGGUCCUCAUUCCUCACAUCCCCACGGUCUGCCUGCCAGACCGUGACACAUAUGAUGGAUGAAGUCUGUCUUUGACUGUAUUGUCCAGCUGAUCCAUCAAACCCCCAGCAGGUAAACCUUAUCAUGACAUAACACAGUAACAGUAAGUAAUGUAAAAAAUUAAACAGCAACAGUCUUCAUCAUUAAA